rnacentral:rRNA from 1 species
UACGAAGGGGGCUAGCGUUGCUCGGAAUCACUGGGCGUAAAGGGUGCGUAGGCGGGUCUUUAAGUCAGGGGUGAAAUCCUGGAGCUCAACUCCAGAACUGCCUUUGAUACUGAAGAUCUUGAGUUCGGGAGAGGUGAGUGGAACUGCGAGUGUAGAGGUGAAAUUCGUAGAUAUUCGCAAGAACACCUGCGGCGAAGGCGGGUAGCUGGGCCGACACUGACGCUGAGGCGCGAAAGCCAGGGGAGCGAACGGG